rnacentral:lncRNA from 1 species
UCAUCGAUCUGCUCUCUCAUCUCUAGACUAACAAGUUGUAUAUAAUCUUCUUCCUUUGUCAAAAGCCUCUAUAACCAUAUCAUCUGCUCUCUCAUCGCGAGGCUAACAAGUUGUAAAAUCUUCUUCUUUUGUAUUAUUCAAAAAAAAAAUCUUCUUCGUUAGUAAGAUUAAAGGCAAUGAUCGAUUGAACACCAUUUUGAGCAUCUUGGCUCAGCCAACCUUUUGGUUCAAGCCAUGCCAGUAACCAUUCUUUCUGUUGCUUCUUGCAAUUGGCUUCUCAACUGUCGACCACUCCUUCAAGAUCCCAUGAACUCUUUCCGAUAUUAGAUUUUUAUUUUUUUAAAAAGUAACGGAAAAGCAAGACUUGGGCUGGAUCGGAAUCAAUCAACUGCUUUGUAGGUGAGAUUUAGAUGUAAUGUUUCAAGGCCCAUAUAACCGACAUUUCAAUUUCGUUGACGAUAGAUUUAUAGCGUAUGGAAUGAAGAAGAAUAAAUUUAGUGAAAAUAUUCAGUUUUUAGUUGGUGUAUUAUGGAAUUUUCCCUUAGUAGAAGAAAAGUGAUUGUGUAUAUUAUAUAAUGAUAAAUAUAUCACCAGCUAUCUAUCUUGACC